rnacentral:rRNA from 1 species
GUGUAAGUUAUUAAGGGCACACGGUGGAUGCCUUGGCAUUAAGAGCCGAUGAAGGACGUGUGAAUCUGCGAUAAGCCUCGGGGAGCCGAUAACUGGGCGUUGAUCCGAGGAUUUCCGAAUGGGGAAACCUGGCUCAUCUUCAUGGUGAGUUACCGCCAGCUGAAUGUAUAGGCUGGUUGGGGGGAACGCGGGGAAGUGAAACAUCUCAGUACCCGCAGGAAGAGAAAAUAAAGUAAUGAUUCUGUGAGUAGUGGCGAGCGAAAGCGGAAGAGACUAAACCUGUGGUGUGUGAUAGCGGUUAGGCGUUGCAUCAUGGGGGUUGUGGGAGUCACAGUGGCAGUUCUAACUGGCU